rnacentral:rRNA from 1 species
AGUCAUGUUAAUGAAGCCAGGCGGCAAUUGGCUGAGGCUGAAAAAGCCACGGGCGAGCAGGGGGUCAUGGUGCUGGGACAGCGCAAGGAGGCCCGGGAUACUCACGUGCUGGUUCGCGGGG